rnacentral:tmRNA from 1 species
GGGGGUGAAAUGGGUUCGACGGGGGCAGAAGAGGCAAGAGAAGCGGGUUCAGGACCAUGACCUGGUAAAAACAUGGAAAGGCAUUAACUGCCAACGAUGAAUUAGCUUUCGCUGCUUAGAGAAAAGCAGCGCGCCUGCCUUCUCCUUUCCUGCGGGAGAAGAGACAGGUGUCAUCUAAGCAGGAUACCCGGUUUGCAAGCCUCUCCUCUUGCAAGACGGGGAAAUUAAUAGGGGAUAGUGCGGGGGCAUCUGGUCUCGGGGAGACCCCGGCACGAAAACUAAAACUGAGACUACGCCCGUAGAGGCUCUUGUGGCUUUGCUUUCGGACGCGGGUUCAAUUCCCGCCACCUCCACCA